rnacentral:rRNA from 1 species
GACGAACGCUGGCGGCGUGCCUAAUACAUGCAAGUUGAGCGCUGAAGGUUGGUACUUGUACCAACUGGAUGAGCAGCGAACGGGUGAGUAACGCGUGGGGAAUCUGCCUUUGAGCGGGGGACAACAUUUGGAAACGAAUGCUAAUACCGCAUAAAAACUUUAAACACAAGUUUUAAGUUUGAAAGAUGCAAUUGCAUCACUCAAAGAUGAUCCCGCGUUGUAUUAGCUAGUUGGUGAGGUAAAGGCUCACCAAGGCGAUGAUACAUAGCCGACCUGAGAGGGUGAUCGGCCACAUUGGGACUGGAACACGGCCCAAACUCCUACGGGAGGCAGCAGUAGGGAAUCUUCGGCAAUGGACGAAAGUCUGACCGAGCAACGCCGCGUGAGUGAAGAAGGUUUUCGGAUCGGAAAAAUCUGUUGGUAGAGAAGAACGUUGGUGAGAGUGGAAAGCUCAUCAAGUGACGGUAACUACCCAGAAAGGGACGGCUAACUACGUG